rnacentral:rRNA from 1 species
GAUGAACGCUGGCGGCGUGCCUAAUACAUGCAAGUCGAGCGAACGGACGAGAAGCUUGCUCUUCUGAUGUUAGCGGCGGACGGGUGAGUAACACGUGGAUAACCUACCUAUAAGACUGGGAUAACUUCGGGAAACCGGAGCUAAUACCGGAUAAUAUUUUGAACCGCAUGGUUCAAAAGUGAAAGACGGUCUUGCUGUCACUUAUAGAUGGAUCCGCGCUGCAUUAGUUAGUUGGUAAGGUAACGGCUUACCAAGGCAACGAUGCAUAACCGACCUGAGAGGGUGAUCGGCCACACUGGAACUGAGCCACGGCCCAGACUCCUACGGGAGGCAGCGGUAGGGAAUCUUCCGGAAUGGGGGAAAGACUGACGGAGCAACGCCGCGUGAGUGAUGAAGGUCUUCGGAUCGUAAAACUCUGUUAUUAGGGAAGAACAUAUGUGUAAGUAACUGUGCACAUAUUGACGGUACCUAAUCAGAAAGCCACGGCUAACUACGUG